rnacentral:rRNA from 1 species
UACGGGGGGGGUAAGCGUUGUUCGGAAUUACUGGGCGUAAAGGGCUCGUAGGCGGCCAACUAAGUCGGACGUGAAAUCCCUCAGCUUAACUGGGGAACUGCGUCCGAUACUGGAUGGCUUGGAUUCGGGAGAGGAAUGCGGAAUUCCAGGUGUAGCGGUGAAAUGCGUAGAUAUCCGGAGGAACACCGGUGGCGAAGGCGGCUUCCUGGACCGACACUGACGCUGAGGCGCGAAAGCUAGGGGAGCAAACGGG